UACGAAGGGGGCUAGCGUUGCUCGGAAUCACUGGGCGUAAAGCGCACGUAGGCGGGUCUUUAAGUCGAGGGUGAAAUCCUGGAGCUCAACUCCAGAACUGCCUUUGAUACUGAGGAUCUCGAGUCCGGGAGAGGUGAGUGGAACUCCGAGUGUAGAGGUGAAAUUCGUAGAUAUUCGGAAGAACACCAGUGGCGAAGGCGGCUCACUGGCCCGGUACUGACGCUGAGGUGCGAAAGCGUGGGGAGCAAACAGGG
rnacentral:rRNA from 1 species